rnacentral:rRNA from 1 species
UACAGAGGGUGCGAGCGUUAAUCGGAAUUACUGGGCGUAAAGCGCACGUAGGUGGCUUGGCAAGUCGGGUGUGAAAUCCCCGGGCUCAACCUGGGAACUGCAUUCGAGACUGCCUUGCUAGAGUAUGGGAGAGGGAAGUGGAAUUUCCGGUGUAGCGGUGAAAUGCGUAGAUAUCGGAAGGAACAUCAAUGGCGAAGGCGACUUCCUGGACCAAUACUGACACUCAGGUGCGAAAGCGUGGGGAGCAAACAGG